AGUGAACGCUGGCGGUAGGCCUAACACAUGCAAGUCGAACGGCAGCACAGGAGAGCUUGCUCUCUGGGUGGCGAGUGGCGGACGGGUGAGGAAUACAUCGGAAUCUACUCUGUCGAGGGGGAUAACGUAGGGAAACUUACGCUAAUACCGCGUACGACCUACGGGUGAAAGCAGGGGACCUUCGGGCCUUGCGCGAUUGAAUGAGCCGAUGUCGGAUUGGCUAGUUGGCGGGGUAAAGGCCCACCAAGGCGACGAUCCGUAGCUGGUCUGAGAGGAAGGUCAGCCACACUGGAACUGAGACACGGUCCAGACUCCUACGGAAGGCAGCAGUGGGGAAUAUUGGACAAUGGGCGCAAGCCUGAUCCAGCCAUACCGCGUGGGUGAAGAAGGCCUUCGGGUUGUAAAGCCCUUUUGUUGGGAAAGAAAUCCAGCUGGCUAAUACCCGGUUGGGAUGACGGUACCCAAAGAAUAAGCACCGGCUAACUUCGUGCCAGCCGCCGCCGUAA
rnacentral:rRNA from 1 species